GUUGCCAUGGAUCCUGCAGACGACUGGCUGGUGGACUCCUUGCGCUUGUACCAGGAUUUCUAUGCAUUCGACCUCUCAGGAGCGACUCGAGUCCUUGAAUGGAUUGAUGACAAAGGAGUCUUUGUUGCUGGCUAUGAAAGCCUGAAAAAGAAUGAAAUUCUUCAUCUGAAAUUACCUCUCAGACUUUCUGUAAACGAAAACAAGGGCUUAUUCCCAGAAAGAGAUUUCAAAGUGCGCCAUGGAGGAUUUUCAGACAGGUCUAUCUUUGAUCUAAAGCACGUGCCACAUACCAGGUAUGGUCAAUUUUGUGAUCCAGCCAUCCACACAGGAUGGAAUGGGAUGGCUGCAAAUGCCUGGGGGUAUUCUGCCUCCUCAUCUCCAUUCCCACCCCCUCAGCACACGGGCACAUGUGAGUGCACAAGUGUGUGCACACAGAUACACACAGAUUCAGAAUACAAAGAAACCACUGCUGUGGCUUCAUAGCCCCCCAGAGCCCUUUGACUAAUGUAAGCAACAGGUCUACCGGAGUUGCUCCAGGGAAUAGAUAUGGGACAGAAAGAUGCUCUUCUGUUGCUCUUGGGUGAUAAUUGCUCAGUUGGGAGAGGCCAGGAGUCUCUGGGUCAGGUUGUGUUUGGCCCCAUACUGGUGUCCUCUGUAGGUGACCAUCAUGACACAUGGAAGCUUGGGCUCAGUCUCCCUGAAGUGGAUUGAGCCUGCUCCUUAUCUGUGAAGUGAGGGUGGUUGGCCUUGAUGAUCUUGCAGUAAGAUGUCCUGAUAUGGGAAGUGGAGUCCCAAGCUAAGUGCGCUGGGAAGGGGAAGGGACCUGUGUGGAUAAGCUCCCCAUGGUCUGGACUGAUUUUCUGUCUUUUCUGAAUAGAUUGUUGGUUACCAGUGGCCUUCCAGGUUGUUACCUGCAGGUGUGGCAGGUUGCAGAGGACAGUGAUGUCAUUAAAGCUGUCAGCACCAUUACUGUGCACGAGAAAGAGGAGAGUCUCUGGCCUAGGGUGGCCGUCUUCUCCGCAGUGGCACCCAGAGUCCUCCAUGGGGCGAGGCUCCGCAGUCUGCAGGUCGUUGAUCUGGAGUCCCGGAAGACCACGUACACCUCAGAUGUCAGUGACAGUGAGGAGCUGAGUAGCCUGCAGGUCCUAGAUGCAGACACCUUUGCCUUCUGCUGUGCUUCAGGCCAGCUGGGGCUUGUUGACACCCGCCAGAAGUGGGCACCGUUGGAGAAUCGCAGCCCUGGCCCUGGGUCUGGUGGAGAGAGAUGGUGUGCUGAAGUUGGGAGCUGGGGCCAGGGCCCUGGGCCCAGCAUUGCCAGCCUUGGCUCAGAUGGGCGUCUUUGUCUUCUUGAUCCCCGGGAUCUCUGCCAUCCUGUGAGCUCAGUCCAGUGCCCAGUAUCCAUACCUAGCCCUGACCCAGAGCUGCUGCGAGUGACUUGGGCCCCAGGCCUGAAGAAUUGCUUGGCCAUCUCAGGUUUUGAUGGUACAGUCCAGGUCUAUGAUGCCACAUCUUGGGAUGGAACACGGAGCCAAGUAGAACCUCUCUUCACUCACAGAGGUCACAUCUUCCUAGAUGGAAACGGGAUGGACCCUGCUCCUUUGGUCACCACCCACACCUGGCAUCCCUGCAGACCAAAGACUUUGUUAUCAGCAACAAAUGAUGCCUCUCUGCAUGUGUGGGACUGGGUGGACCUUCGUGCCCCCCACUGACACCAGCAUCUUUUCAUCCUGGCCUCUAGAAAGGGGAGGAGCUGCUGUAGUAGCAAAGGUACUGAUGUAGGACUCAAGUGACUGCCAGUCCCUGUUACCAGCUGUGUGGCCUUGGGCAAGUCCACCAGCGUCACUUAGCCUCAGUUUCCUUAUCUGUAAAAUGAGGAUAGUAAGAACUACCUCGUAGUGAUAUUGCGAAGGUUAGAAGAAACGCAUGGCUUAAUUACUUGGUAGCUAUUGUUAGAUCUGGGAGUGUAAAAUGGCAGCGUUUUGUCCCUGUCUUCACACUAUCAUAGGAAGAAUCAAAAGAGCUAACAAAUAUAAACGUGCUUUGUGAAUUUUUUUAAAGAAAAAAAUGUAGAGGGGCCAAUAAACAUGAAAAAAAUCCCAGCCCUAGUAGCAAUUAAGGAAAUAGC
rnacentral:sRNA from 1 species